rnacentral:rRNA from 1 species
CGCCUGUUUAUCAAAAACAUGUCUUUAUGAAAUAUUUAUAAAGUCUGGCCUGCCCACUGAAUUUUAAAGGGCCGCGGUAUUUUGACCGUGCAAAGGUAGCAUAGUCAUUUGUCUCUUAAUUGGAGGCUUGUAUGAAUGGUCGCACAAGAAACAAACUGUCUUCAAUAAAAUUAAUUGAAUUUAACUUUUAAGUAAAAAGGCUUAAAUAAAUUAAAGUGACGAUAAGACCCUAUAAAACUUGAUAAAUAAAAUUAAAAAAGCGUAUUAGUUUAUUAAAACUUUUUUUUUCUAACUUAUUUUAUUGGGGCGAUAAAAAUAUAAUAAGUAACUGUUUUUAAAAUUUUAAUGGUUAAUAACUAAAUUAAAUAAAUGAUCCUUUAAUAAAGAUUAAAAGAUUAAGUUACUUUAGGGAUAACAGCGUAAUUUUCUUUGAGAGUUCAUAUCUACAAGAAAGAUUGUGACCUCGAUGUUGAAU